GAACUGAAGAGUUUGAUCCUGGCUCAGAUUGAACGCUGGCGGCAUGCUUUACACAUGCAAGUCGAACGGCAGCACGGGGGUAACCCUGGUGGCGAGUGGCGAACGGGUGAGGAAUGCACCGGAACGUGUCUUCAAGUGGGGGAUAACGCAUCGAAAGGUGUGCUAAUACCGCAUAAUCUCUGAGGAGAAAAGCAGGGGAUCGCAAGACCUUGCGCUUUUGGAGCGGCCGAUGCCUGAUUAGCUUGUU
rnacentral:rRNA from 1 species